rnacentral:tRNA from 1 species
GGCUUCGUGGUCGAGUGGUAAGGACACAUGCCUCUCACGCUUGAGUUCCGGGUCGAUCCCCGGUCUAGGAGCUA